rnacentral:lncRNA from 1 species
CAUGAGGCUAAAUUAGCAACGCUGCAACAGGAAAGAUGGAGAUGCAGAUCCGCCCCUGGCUGCACCUGCACCUCGGUCAAGUGGCAGAUGGGCAUGCCCGGCAUGGGCAAUGGCUUUGUGGGUUUCAACCGCUCGCUCUUGAGGUCAAAAGACAUUAUUUUCGCCUGAGAUCCCUCCGUUACCCAGUACGAGGCCCCGUUUACGCUGACGACACCGGCGUCCAGCCUGCAUUUCGUGCUAGGCGUUGGGACCUCUCUCCACGAGGCCUCCCCUACCGUGAACACUUGCACCGUCUCCUUG